rnacentral:tRNA from 1 species
GCGCCCGUAGCUCAGCUGGAUAGAGUACUGGCCUCCGAAGCCAGGGGUCGCGCGUUCAAAUCGCGCCGGGCGCGCCA